CCAGGGAUCAAACCUGCGUCUCUUAUGUCUACCUGCAUUGACAGUUGGAGCCUUGGAAACCGGGCGGGCAGUGGCAGAUAUAGGCCGAGUCGGGGUCUGCGCCUCCCACACACAAGCCACCGUUGAAACAAGGGCCCAGGCCCAGGUACGAGGCAUCCAGUGGUGGCAGAUGAUGGGCCCCUGGAGCUGAGGCAGCUGCUGCUGGAGACAGGGA